rnacentral:tRNA from 1 species
GGGCAUUAUGCGCUGGUUGCUAACCACCAACCAUAAGGAUAUUGGCACCCUUUAUUUAUGGUUUAGUUUCAUUAUG